ACAGCUGACACGGAUUCCCCAGGGCGAGGCGGGCCUACGACUCAUUUCCUGACACGCCCCCGUCAUCCUCAAAGAGCCCGUACGUCCGGCGUCACCCUUAAAGACACAGCCCCGGAGAAACGGCCUUUUGGGGUCAGGCUUGCGUGGGAUCCCGGGAGUUUCCUAGACCUUGUGCGCUCCUUGCCCGCUGAUGGUGGGGGGAUCUCGGCAGCUGCAGAAGGUUCCUGUGGGUGCUCAAGCCUUCCUCUCCCCAGUUGCGUCUCCUCUGGACUCCCCCCGACUCGGCUCUUCCACAGGUCUUUAAUGCACAUUUGAGGUCUGGAAGGGCAGCAGACAUCUUGAAACCACAAGACAAAAGAUACGAAGAGGAAAGCUAAGGAUGGCAGAGUGGAAGCCUGGAGAGAGCCUGGGUCAUUUAGAGCUUGGAUGAGUUGCCCUCCAGAUCUGGACUUCUACUCUUCAGCAUAGAGGAUGGAUGUGAGGGAGAUUUGGAGACACAGAUGACACAUGGGGAGGAGCUCCAUUGGAAAUGGAAGUAGAGGGUGGAGUGAGGCAGCUACAAGUCCAGGAGCUCCAUGGGUUGCUGGAAAACACCAGAAGCUAGGAGAGAAGGAACCAAUUCUCCCUCAGAGCCUUCAGAAGGAAGAACUCUUUUAACAGCUUGAUUUCGGGCUCCUGGCCUCCUGAACUGUGAGAGAAUAAAUUUCUGUUGUUUGAGAUACUCACUAAUAUAAUAGGUCUGUGGAAAACAAACCCCAAAACUGCUGCUUGACUGAUAAAUCCCAGGGGGACUGUGAGACCAAUAGCUUUUCCUCAGUCUUGGCUGGAGAUGAAGGAGGAGUUCCAGUAGUUUAUCUAAUAUUUAAUCCCCUCGGUGAUGGUGCAAUUCUGCUGCAGACAUGGAGGCAUGGUGGGAUGCUCCCCAGACCUCUAGCUCUUGGCCUGGUGACUAUACUCUUGAGACUUUGGGUAAUCUGUCUACCUUUCUGGACGUUAGUUUUCCCAUCAGUGAAAUGGGAGGGGAAUCAGGCUUGAUGGUCCCUAAAGUAAGCUUCUGAUUCUCAUCCUGGCUGGUAUGUGGAGUGGCAGGGGAGAACUGGUUGAUACAAAAUUGAAUUUAUUGGCUCAUGUUUCUAAGAAGUCCGGGGUGGUGUGUGUCAGGGGGAGAUGCUCACUUUAGGUGCAGCUUGACUCUGUAGUGUGGACAGUGUCAUCAAACACAUCCUAUUCUUGGCUCUUUUCCAAGUCUUUGCUUUGUUUUCAGGCACUGUGUAAUGGCAAAAUGGCUUCAGGCAUUCCAGACCUUAUACCAUUCAGGUUAUUACUUUUUUUUUUUUAGGUUAUAUAUUUUUAGAGUAGUUUUAGGUUCACAGCAAAAUGGAGCAAAAGGUACAGAGAUUUCCCAUAACCCCUCUGCUCCCACACAUGCAUAGCCUCCCUAACUACCAACAUCCCCUGGCAGAGUGGAACAUUUUUGGAAUUUAUCAGCCUACACCGACACAUUGUUACUACCCAGAGUCCAUAGUUUACAUUAGGGUUCACUGUUUGUGUUGUAGCUUCUAUGGGUUUGACAAAUAUAUACAGGAUGACAUGUAUCCACUAUUAUAGUAUCAUACAGAGUCAUUUCACUGCCCUAAAACACCAUUCAGGUUUAAGUCUGGUGGGGAAAAAAUUACUGUUUCUCAGAAGCCUAACCUCUGGCUUAAUCCUUGCAUCGCAAGUUGAACCCCUGGGCCCAGACAGGUGGUAUGAGAGUAGAGAAGGGGUGGCGCCAGAAAUGAAAAUUAAGAGGUGUUGCCAGAAGAAGGAAUGGAUGCUGGACAGCCCUGCUAGGAGGGGCCUGUGUUGGAUGGGCAGAGGGUAUCUGGAAGACUGCACAGUCUCUUCCCCUCUUCCUUUGCUCAUGUAGUUCCACUUUGUUCAGUGCUCCCCCACAUUCACCCCUAAACGCGGCUAACUUUCUGUCCUUUAAGACUCAGGGCAGGAAUCACUUCCUUAGGGAGACCCUCCGGUUAGGCUAGGUCUCCCUGAUGUGCACUCCUGCUCUUUCCCUGUGUGGAUGAAAUGUGAAGAGAGUGUGCACAGGAGGCAUCUUUUCCCUUUUUGGGUAAGAAUAUCCCCAACUCCUUUUGGAAUUGCCCCUUCUGAGCUGUUGCAGCUGUUGGGGCCCAUCAAUCUAUGUGCUUGAGUUUCUCUAGCCAAAGGGGUGGGCACAUGAGACAGGCCAGGCCAGUGAGCACACUGCUUGCUUUUUCUUUCUCUGAAUUGAAAUCUGGGGUAGAAACAACCACCACCACCCCUACCAAACCUAAAAUUAGUUACAGCUGACUCACUGUGGCAGGAACACCCAGAAAACCUAUUUACCAUUUUCUGCCCCUGAGACCCUCAGAGCUGCCUGGCUUGCUUGUCCUUCCGUCUUGUUCUUCAGGUUUUUCAUUGGUUCUGGGAGCAACCCUGGACUCUACCAAUGACCUCUUUUUUGCAUAAGUAGGCUGGAGUCUAUAUCUGUUGCUUGCCAUCAGAGAACCCUAGAAUGCUACUGUGGGCAUUUCCUUCUGACCAAGAAGAGGGAUCAGGGCAGGAACUGGCCAGCUCCAGUAAAUGGAUUUAACUAGACUUCUCCCCAGGUGCUGGGGUUCUAAGAGCAGGGUGGGAAACAGGAAAAGAUUGGGGCAGCAGGAAGUAUAGACCAGGAUGUGUAAAUACUGGUAUGUUUGCAGAAGGGCUGCCAGUGGGUAAAUGCAGGUCAAGGUUGUCUUUUACCUCUGGGUCUUUGCUGUAAACCUGCUAGGUGGGGCAUAGUGGUGGUGAGGCGGGCUGGUGUGGAUACCUGGGCAUUUGAAAUUGGUUUAAUUUAACAAACAUCUUCUGAAAGCUCUUUCUGCAUGAUCUUCCUCUCUGACCCAUCCCCUCUGCAGGGUUCAUUGUUCAGUUCUUAUGACUUAUGGGGUUUAUGCCUUAUGUUGGCAUGCUGAUAGCAUAAUUGGGGCCAUUAAUGCAAUCAAACCUAUCCUGGACACUACAGUGUAACUGGUUACUUCUCUCUCUCUAACUAGACCCUCUCCUGUUCAUCACUGUGUCCCUGGUGCCUAGCACAGGGCUUGGCACAUAGUAGGUAUUCAGUAAAGGUUUGUUGACUGAAUGAAUGCAGAGGUGGACUGUAGAGCUGUUACUGGUAUGCUGGGGAGCCAACUGGCUUGCUGACUUCCUGUAAGAGACAUCCCAAUCUUAAGUCAGCAUGCGCUGAAUUUGGGUUUCGACUUUGCAACUCAGUCAAACUCCAAUCUGGACUUCAGCCUUUGGAAGGUGAAAUAGUUGAAUGCCUGUUUUACUGUCAUUCCUGACAUAUCUGAUACUGUGCAUGAUCAAUGAUUCUGUGAGUAGGAGAGGGACAUCACAGUUUACUAAUAUGAUUACCCCAGGAAUACAAAUAAGGCAGGUCAUUUGAAUUUAUUAUUAAUAUUUGAACAUUUUCAAACAUAGGUGAGCAUUUUAGAAGUAACUAAAACUGAAAACUAUUCUUUUGUGCCUUAUAUUUUGAGAUUAUUUCAGCUGGUAUUUACAUAUAUUUAUAUCUAGGGUAAAAUGGUACAAUAAUUAAUGAUAAUUGAAAGCUAUUAACUUUAUGUGCAAAAUAAUUGCUAAGUUUCAAUAAUUUAAAUAAAUAGGAAAAUUAAUAGUUCACAUGAAUAUUAAGAGAGAACGUGUUAGCUAGAUAACCUUAGGAAGAACAUUUUAUUCUUUUGGAACAAAUAAAUGUUUAUACAAAUUUAAAUAAGAGUACUAGGCAGAAUAAUAAAGAUUAAAUUAUCUUUUAUAAUUCCAUUUUUCAUAUAACUGUUUGGCAGAAUGGCAUUUUUAAUAUUAAACAAAACAACUUUUAAGCACUGUAUUUAAGUUGUAGUUAUUUCAUUUCAUUUAGACUAUUAUUCAUCUUUCAAGAAAAUCUCUAUUUGGGAAUUAAGUAAACCUUAUGGGAUCAAUUAAAAGCAAAAUACCUAUUUGCCACCUCAAAAUUUUACAAGGAAGAAAAAUUCUGCUGUCACGUACAACAAAAUCCAUGAUAAAUUAUCUUCCAUUCAGACACGAUAAAGCAUAUAAAUAGUAUGAAAGAAAAAAGGAAGGUGGUUAAAAGAAAGAGGUAUCACCCUUUUUUAUAAAUACAAUUUUAUUGAUCUACUAACCUCAGUUGAAAAGGAAAUAGUAAAUGUGAAAAAUGUGCAGCAUAUUAGUGUGGAAGCAAUUUAACUGCUGGUGGUAGAGAGGAAGUAGAAUUUUUGCACAUAAUGUCAAAUUCCCUUAAAGUUAGGCUUAUUGAGGUAUGUAUCACAUACAAUUUAUCAUUUUAGGUGUAAAGUUCUAUGAAUUUUGACAACUGUGUAACCACUACAGUAAUCAAGAUAGGGAACAAUUCUAUAACCCGCUAAAAUUCCCUCUGGUCAUGAGUGAACUGAUUUCUGUCCUAUAGUUUAAGUUUUUCCAAAACAUCAUAGAAAUAAAAUCAUAUAGUAAAGAGCCUUUUGUGUCUGACAUCUUUCACUUAGUGUAAUGCUCUUAAGGUUCACACAUGUUGUACUUGUCAGUUUGUUCUUUCAUUAUGCACCAUAAUUUACUUAUACAGUCAUCAGUUGUUGGACUUCUGGGUUGUUUCCAGUUUGGGAAGGAAGACUAUGAAUAAAACUCCUAUAAACAUUUGUGUACGGUCUGUGUUGGAGGUCUGUAUUCAUUUCACUUGGGGAAGUUCCUAGGAGUGGGAUCGUUAGGUCUUACAGCAACUACAUGUUUAACUUUUUAAGAGACUGGCAAUUUGUUUUUCCAAAUGGAUGUACCUAUCAGAAAUGUAUGAGAGUUCCAGUUGUUCUUUGUCCUCACCACUACUUGGUUUUGUCAGUCUAAACAUUUUGUUCUUUCUAAUCAAUGUGUAGUGAUCUCUUACUGUGGUUUUAAUUUGCAUUCCUCUAAUAAUGCUUAAAUUCC